rnacentral:misc_RNA from 1 species
GAUGAAGAACGCAGCGAAAUGCGACAAGUAAUGUGAAUUGCAGAAUUCAGUGAAUCAUCGAAUCUUUGAACGCACAUUGCGCCCCCUGGUAUUCCGGGGGGCAUGCCUGUUCGAGCGUCAUUUCACCACUCAAGCCUCGCUUGGUAUUGGGCAACGCGGUCCGCCGCGUGCCUCAAAUCGUCCGGCUGGGUCUUCUGUCCCCUAAGCGUUGUGGAAACUAUUCGCUAAAGGGUGUUCGGGAGGCUACGCCGUAAAACAACCCCAUUUCUAAGGUUGACCUCGGAUCAGGUAGGGAUACCCGCUGAACUUAAGCAUAUCAAUAAGCGGAGGA